CCCUACUGCAGGUCAAGGGCCUUGC
rnacentral:piRNA from 1 species